rnacentral:misc_RNA from 1 species
GAAAUGCGAUAAGUAGUGUGAAUUGCAGAAUUCAGUGAAUCAUUGAAUCUUUGAACGCACAUUGCGCCCUUUGGUAUUCCUUAGGGCAUGCCUGUUCGAGCGUCAUCUAAACCUUCAAGCCCUGCUUGGUGUUGGGUGCCUGUCCCGCCUCCGCGCGCGGACUCACCUCAAAUCCAUUGGCGGCCCCCGCGUCGGCCACGAGCGCAGCAGAAACGCGAACUCGUGAGCCCGUCCGGGCGGCUCCCAGAAGCUACACCCACCCAGUUUGACCUCGGAUCAGGUAGGGAUACCCGCUGAACUUAAGC